GCGAAUGGGUUCUGGUUUAAGGGAUCUUGGGAGAAAGGUAACGGCACUUAUUCUUUCCUUGCUUUUCUCCAGAAAGGGAUUUCUAGACUUGGGCAUGGAGAGAAAAGGCAUGGGGCAGAGAAAGUCUCCUUCAGGCGGCUAAUUUUGGACCUGGCCUCUGGAACCUGGUCUUAGCCUGGACUAAGAGGCCUUCACCUUUUUUUCUGCUCCAUGUCAGCAGCCUCUAGCCCCCACCCAAAGGCUGUCAGCGCCUCUGAUCUCACUCUCAGCCCUGCCUUUGACCCUCACCCCGGUGGAAGCCCCAGGAGCCAAAGGGAGCCAAAAGACAGGGAUAAAGCCGAAGGGGAGAGAAAUAUAUAGUUUUUUUCUCCACUGUCUCCCCCAUAUACAAGAAAGAAAAUAAAAGUAAUUACUGUUGACAAUGGGGAGGAAGAACUGCCCAUAAAUGAAGAAGUUGGGAGGAUGGGAAGGGAGAGUAAGAAGAGAGUAUCCCUUUUGCUUGCCUCCCCCUGCCCCCAGCCUAGAGUGGAAACGGAGGCUUGAAGCCCCCAGGGUGGUUAGGUGUACCUCCUCGAUCAAAUGAUCAGACUUUGAGCUGUCUGAACUGAGAUGAUCAAGGUCUUCUGAUCCCUGCAAAGAUGGCUCCCGGAUUGGAGGGGGGCGGGGAUGGGGAAAUCUCUUCCAGGGAAAACUGGCCCGGCUCUAUGACCCUUCUAAUGUCUGCUCCUCAGAGAGCCUCUCAAUCCCAGCGAGCAACGAAAAUGGGUCCCAAUGCCCAGAAAUUCCAGGCCGUUGGUUCUUUUUGGUUUUAUUCUCGAAAGGGAAAGGCCCGAUGGGGGCAGGGGAACAGCAAGUGUCGAAGAGGCCGGAAUUUCGGACGAGCGGGGUGACAGAAGGGGAAAUUCCCGGAGCUUGGGCUCGGUCCUCUGGCUCCCCCUUGAAGAAGGUGACCCCGCAAAGCAGAAUUUCUUGUCUUCUCUGAGAUAGGAGGCCCCGAAGCUAACCCAAGAAAAGACAAGUUCCAUUUCUAACCAGCUUUUCUAUUGUUAAUAAGUUUAACCCCCCCAGUCCUCAGCGUAUUCAAAGUCCCCGUGUUCUGGGAAGCUUAGCCCAGACCCUUCACCGGAGGACAGAUUUGGAAUAGGCUAAUGGAGCAAGACAGGGAGAGGGCUAAGGGCUAAUCCAACUGGGGGCUCCCUGACCCCAACGGGGCCAGGCCAAGCAAGCCAGUAGAGGAGGAAGUAAGAGCGGCAAGUCAGAAUAGAGACCCAGGCCCCAGAUCUUCCGGGCCACUUGUCUGAUUUCUCUUUCGGGAGCAGGAAAAAAAAGAAGGGCAGUCAUAUAUCCAGGGAAGUGGGCAUCCUGCAGCUCUGGGGCUCUGUCCUUCAACUUUGUCUGUAAAGGUCAAGAUGGUUGAGAGAGCUAAGAUUCUUCCAUGGACGAUUAUCUGCAUAAGUGCAAAUGGGUGUGUGGCUAAUUUUUGGGGGACGGUAAGAAAUCUUGUGGGAUUGAUGAGCUUACACUCUUUAGAUUUGUGAUCUUCGACAGCAGUCUGGGGGCUUUCCAGGGAAGCAGUGCAAAGGAUCCCAGGUAUCCUGGAAUUUGGGGAAAAUUCUUACUAGAAUGGAUUUUGAGAUGCUAGUUGAGCACAGGCAAGACUGGAUUUUAGUUUAGUCUGGUUGGGGACAGCUUCUCUGCAUGCAGAAGGGAAAGAGUCUCCUCGGAGGUGUCCCCUGAGACCUGGGGGUAGUGGGGGGAGAGACCUCCAGUCUUGUUAUCAGCUCACUUUUAAGCAAAGAAGGAGACAGGUGACGGUAGCUGGUGAAAAGGAAGCUGGGGAGAAAAUUUUGGACGCAGGUGGGGCAAACACCCCACGUGUUUUCCAUCCUCCACAAUACCAAAAUUCAUUGUGGUGCCCCCUUCCCUUCCCCCCCCGUUCUGGGCGACUUGGGUGGGAGUGAGGAAGUAGAGUGAAAAACGGGUGAAGAGUUGUAGUUUUUCCGACACCAAAAAAGCUUAAUUGUGGUUUUCAAAGAGUCCUUGAGAUUCAGGAGCCCACCCGGCUGGCUGGAGACCACCGGUAUCCCCGCAGGAUUCCCCUAACUUUCCUGGUCUCUUUUCCCCUAUUUCUGCUCCCUCUCCUCCUUCUCUUGGAGAACAGCCCCCAACGAAUCUUUAUAUCUGUGGUGGCCGCAAAAACCUGCCGUAGGAAGAAAAAAACCCCCAAAAAACAACCCGGAUAGGUUUCGUUGACCUGCUUAAUGCAAACUAAAACCAGUUUUCGAUUGGCGAGUUCCAGAGGACGAGGGCUUCAGCCGGGCCCCAGCACCUUCCCGAAAGAUAAUUGGCCCACCUGCUAUGGGACCUGGAGACCUCCUGCUUACCGCGGUCUACAAGAGCUUUGUAACAGUAAUUUCUGCCCAAAGGAGACUUAAAACAAAAAACAAAAAACAAAAAUCCAAAACGAGUAAAAACUAAAAUGAGCAUUUCUGGCAGAACCCAGUCUGGCUCUGCCCGACAUCAGCUGCCCGAGGAUCUGAAGAUUUGGCUUUUAAGGGUAAUCACCAGUAAGUAACUGGUAAAGCUCUUUGCUGCGUCUCCUCGCGAUGCAAAGUGGUCCCAGUAGCCGGAAGGGAAGGGAAGGAGAGGACAGGACAGGACAGAAAAGAAAUAGGAGUCAGCUUCUCUUCUUUCUCAGAGUGGGGGUCAAGGGGAGGGGGUGAACAGCCUGGUCGAAUCUUGGCGAGACGGCCUUGAGCUUCAGCAGCUUUGCCCUUUUAAUUAGCGCCAACUACCUUCUAUCCGCAGCCCUCGGGCUCCGGUGCUCUUCCCCCUCACCCCGGACUUUUUAGAUGUACCAACUCCAUCCCGGGGCCAGGGUUGGGGUCUUCAAGCCUCGAAGAUCCCAAGACCCAGAGGGACAGAGAAAGGAGCCGUGGUCCCGGCGGGCGGGACCUUCUUGGCCACGCACCGAGGUAACAAGGUUGUAUAAAUCGUUGCUUACCCUCCCACCUCCCUCCUUUUGCAUGUCUUUAAGAGUCACUGGAACCUGAGUGGAGAGGUUUGGCAAUUGCCAUCUUUAUAGAGACCGAGGUGGAAGUGGUGGUGGUGAAGGUGGGGGAUCAGAGACAUUUCUGCCUUCCAAGGAUUUAGGGGCUUCGCGCUGGAUUGGGAACUCCGAAACCAAAAAGAAGGGAAAGGAUGACCCAGCUGAUUUUAGACCCGGGGAAGAGCUGUGCUAAUUCACUCGCUGGACUUCACCUGCAGUCUGUGCAAGGAGAGAUCGGAGUGAGAUCCGUCUUACUCAGUCUACACUCGGACAAAGGCGUCUCGGAUGGCGCCUGCUGCCCUCACUAGAUUUUCCGGUUCCCCUCGGGCUGCCUCAGAACGUGGUGUGGGGACGGGGGCAGGUGUGAGCCAGAGGGACAUCGCGCUCUCCCAGGUAGCUCUCCGGGCCGAAGCUGUUGGCCGGCACGUGGCAGGAGCUUUCUUCUGGGAGUCGAGCCGAGUGCAGGCUCCUUCUGCGACUCCCUGGGUCAGCCCCUGGCCAAAGGCCGCCACUCUAAAGCCUGUCAGACGGCUCCAAGUUCGGGGACCAGCCAGCCAGUGUGCAGAGGAACUCGCGGGUCCCAGGAGCCUGGCGGGCUCUAUCUCCCAUGGGGGGUAGGAAUGAGCACCGUUGCUUUUGACAUUCACUCUCCUGGUGGGGAUUGUAAAGCUCAGACGCUCCUCCCCUCCCCCCAAGACUGGACGCCCCGUCGGGGCUUCGCAGGGCCGGAUUUCUCUUGGCCCAGUGCAAAUUGUAUCGAGCUGACAAACUGACUAGUCACGAACGGAAUUUAGGGAGAUGAAAACGGAAAGUUGGACCCCUUAUCCCACUUGAGACUUGAUAAUGAUGGUGAUGAUGAUGAUGAUGAUGAUGAUGUUAAGCUCUGCCAGCCUGGCUGGUUAGAAUGAGCCAGCAGCUGAGGGAAGCAAUAAAGGGAGAGGAAAUUUCUGCUCUGCACCCGGGGGGAAUCGUCCUGUUUGGGGAAAUCGUGGAGAAAUCACCGCUCUGGGGACAAUGGUGUAGGCUGGAGAGGGGGGACUGAGGAGAGGUGGACAGGACGCCGGCCCAGACCGAGGCACGCACAGUCAACUGUUUUCCCGAGACAAAGACUGCAGAAACGCAAUGCACAAAGAGAGACAUACAGACAUAAUAAAGUCACACACCCCAAUAGACACAAACACACAGGCGGCGGACACACACAGAGACGUACACUACGAGCCUACGGACGCACAAUGCAGAUACUCCCAGCCAUACAACAGGCACACGUACACACCCCGAAGACACGCGCUACUCCCGACACAAGUUGGCGGAUUGGCACGGGGGCGCCCAAGCAAACUAUCUGCAUACCCCAGACACAGUUGCCACACGUAUACUAGAACUACACAACACGGAGCUUUACAUACGGCGCGGACACACACCCACCACAAACAGGCACACUACAUACAUGCAACGGACACAACAUGCAGACCUCAAAGACACGCCCACACUCAAAAGCACGUUUGAAUUUCUCUCUUGAGAGAUUUCAACGAAGCCAAACCUCUAGGAAAGUCUCUCUCUCUCUGCAACUUGGAAGAGAAGGGUUGGACAGCUCUCCGUGGAGUCCCAGUCUCAUACCCCCAAACCCACUCCACGAGCCCGUCCGCCCAGCUUGCCCUUUAACCUCUGUCCCUUGGGUGUCUUUAUUUUGGGGAAUACGUUCCUAAAUUGCUGCUACCUCCAAGGCUUGCGAAUCCAAACGAAUCGAUUUUCCUUAUAGAUUAAAAAAAAGAAAAGAAAAUGUGUGACAGAGACAGAGAGAGACAGACAGAGAGAGAGAGAGAGAGAGAGAGAAGAGAAUGAGAAUAUGAAUAAUCUUCCCUUUCUCAGACUUAAAAGAAUUAACUUCUAGCUCAGCUUUUAGAAUCAGUCAUAGAAGAAGCUACCGAAGAGAAUCCAUAUCAUAACCGAGAGAGCGCCCUUGGUCUGCAUCCCGACUCUGAUACCUAUUUUAUCCUUGGGAACGAACCUCAGUUUCCUUUCUUUGUAAAAUGGGGCUGUUAUGUGUAAUGCUCAUUUAACAAUGUGACUGUGAGACAAACACAGUCCUAGCUGUCAAGCUUUUGGUAAAUCUUAAAGCGUAAUAGAAAAGCAAGUUAUUGAGACUGAAGUUUUGUCCAAAGAUCGAUAGACCUCCUCUCCAAUCGGGUGGACUAGCCCAAAGCCAGUGGACUGCGUGACUUUCCGAUUCAGAGAACAAUUGAAUUGGACGGGAAUAUUUUAUUUUUACAGCAUUUCGUUUGCCUGCGUUUCUAGAGUAUGGUGGCUCCAUCCAGGAAGCUCCAAGCGCUCUCCAAUUUUUAAUAUCAGAGGAUUUAGAAAAUAAAAUAAAACCAAAAAAGGGGAUCCACACCUGUGGAACUAGAGCUGUAGAGCCCCUGCGGGCUAUCUUCUCCUGCCCUCUGGCUAGGUGCUAGAUUUGAUUGUCUUCCUCCUUCCUCUCCUCACCUGCCCCCUCCUCAGUAGCUAUCCACCUCCAACUUUUCCUAGAGAGCGCAAAGUCAGCUAACCAACGAGCACUCGAGCCUCUCUGCUCUCCCCACUGUGGAAUUUUCUCAGUCUCCAAGACUCAGCGGGUUCUAGCUUGCAUUUGUGUUUAUCGCAGGCAAGACCAAAUGCAUCUCCAGCGGCGCCUUUUAGCUCAGUCUCCCCAGCCAUUCCCGAACCUAGCGGGCUAGGCCAGGUACUCAGGAGCCCGUGCAGGCAAACGAAGUCCCGGCAAGUCUUUGAGGUUAGCUUAGGCUCCCUUGACAGGAAGCGACCUGGGAGACUAACUUUCUCUGUUUCUGUGCAGCUCAACCCAGCUCCCAGAGCACCUCGCAAACGUAACCUCAGCUAAGCUUUCCCAUAUUCUGAGGAGGUGGGCAGGGCAGGGCAGAAAUGAUGUUCCCCAUUUGGCAGUGGGGAAAACUGAGGCCCAGAGGGCACCUGACUUGCUUAAGGUCACAAAUUAGAGAUGGAGCCGGGAAGAGAAUUCAGAUUAACAUAAAAAGUUUCAAGGGACUUGAGAAGUCGUCUGGACCAAGCCUCUCGUUGUACAGAUGAGGAAACAGAGAUCGAGAGAGGUUACCCAGCAGUGAGAGAUUGACAUUAGAACCAGAUCCCUCUGCCAAUAAAUCCAGUACAUUUUCUGCAUUUCUCUCUUGGCUCUUUUUAAAAUAAUAAACAAAGGUAACUUCAAUUGUUGACUGGUCCCCUGGAGAUGUGUGUGUGUGUAUGUGUAUGUGUGUAUUUCCACUUGUCCCUACUUUUCCACGAAAACAUGUAAGGUGCCCCUUUACCUCUCCCGGAAUCAAAAAGAGGCUGGGACGCGAGUGAGUUAUUGUUAAUCCCAGCAUCCCCACCUCAGCCUAGCCUUUGUCUUCCAAGACUCCCAGGAGCCUGGUGAGCAGCCGCAUUGGGCAUCAGAAGAAUUCAGGAGUCCUAGAGUCUAGUAAAGAGAUGAGGGGAUGGUGAGCGCUUUAUCCGUUCCUGUUUAGUGGUUUUGAGGUGUGAUGUACGUAGAGGGAGAUCUGGUCCGGAAGAAGGUCGCCAGAGGCAGGAUAGAAAGUAAUGAGGGGGCCGACUUAUCCUCUCCCCCUUUUCUUCAGCAGACAGUCAUUAACGACGUUGCCUAUCCCAAUGAUCACUGUAGGGUCCGAGACCUCCGAGGCAGAAAGCCCACUAGCCCCAUCCCAUGGAGGUGGGACGUGAAAGCCUGGGGCAGUCCAGUUUCCGGGAGCACAGUGUAGAGAAUCUCGCCUGACCGAGACCCAGAAUCUUCAGCCAAUGGGCAACCUAGCGAGUUGCCAAACGAUCGGGAAAGUGGU
rnacentral:lncRNA from 1 species